rnacentral:rRNA from 1 species
UUUCUAUCUACAAUGUUUAAUCCAAACUUUUCUGAGUCCUAGUACGCAAGGAAUGGUCUCAGCGAUGCUCGACUAUAUUGAUUGGCCCCAUCGACGUAAUCAACUUCUUGCUGCUGCAAAGAAGGAGAACAAAGGGUUUCGGGAUUAAUAAGGU